GCGCCCGUAGCUCAACGGAUAGAGCAUUUGACUACGGAUCAAAAGGUUAGAGGUUCGAAUCCUCUCGGGCGCGCAA
rnacentral:tRNA from 1 species